UAAGGGGAAGGAUAGAAGGAGAGAUUGGGGCCUUCCCUUAUAACAGGGCAGCGAGAAUGGGCGGGGAUUUGGUUUCUAAUGCAACCCAGGGGAACCUUUUUGGUGCUCACAUCAUAAAUUCGUGCAAUGUGCGCUGUGAUGACCAGAUCAACUGCAUGCAAUCAGUGAUGCAAGGCGAAGAUGGGGAUGAAGAUGGUGCAUUGGAUGGCGAGAACUUUGAUGCUUGUGAGAUUGGCAAUAUUCGGUGCAUGGGGAGUUCGAGUACAGGAUCUAAGGUCAUCUUGACUUGUGGCCAUGGAAAUGCGAAUGGAAAUGCGAUGGCUGCUGGAUGUUCGUCUAAGGCCAAGAAAACUAAAGGUCAGUUCUGAUUUACCUUUUUCUUUAUUGAAAGUGCUUGUUGAAUAUUUUAGUGGUCUUCUUCUAUUUGAUUAGCAGGCAUUUGAACAUUUUCCGAUGUCGAUUAGUUAUUGAAUUGCUAGAGUGAUACAUGUAAAGCCUACCCUAUUUGAUGUGCUGGAAUUAGAAGCACUAAUCUGGUUGUCAUGUAUUUCUUUUCAUUUCAUAUGGACUUUGGGAUGCAGCAAGCUUCAAUCCUCCAAGUCCAUGUGCAUUUUUAGGGAAUUAGUCAUGGCAUCUGUAGUAAUCUACCUCCAAUGGAAAAUCCAUUGGAGCUACUGUUAAGAUUUUUGGGUGCAUUGAUGUCACCUUAAGUAGUCGGUGAUUUUAGGCAAUCCUACUUUUAUACAGGACAUGAUAUUGGACUUUAACCUUCUUCAGUAAAAUCAUGAACUUGAAAACUAUUGAGAGCAUUCAAGUUAUGUGAAAUUGGCUUGUUAAGAAGAAUCUACGAUUUCAUACUUACAAACAAGGACCUCGUGUCCACCUCCAAGGGUAUAAAAUAGAAAUACUUAUAGGAGUCUAAUACAUGUCAGUCUGAGGUGGAAAUGUCGUUUGGUGGGAUAAAUUGCAAUAAGGCAGGAUAAAGGGGUUAUAUUCCUCACUAUCUUUUAACCGAACAAAUCCUCUACAUACGGGGAAAAGUGCUAUAUUUUGUACCUUCUUACAACUUUAUAGUGAGUUUGAAGCUAAGUUAGUAGUAAUUUUCUCGAAUUGAUUUUGAUGGCUUUCUAUGUUAGAUUGUAUAGAGGUAUGAAAUUUGCUAUUUUUAGAAAGUCUGAACUCUGAAAGUAUCCUAGUUGAAUAAGGGGCUAGCGGACAAGUCUUAUUAUGUAUUUGGCUAUAAAAGAAUAGAGAGAAGAUCGUCUAACAAGUUCAGUGAUAAUCAAUGCAAAAUAAAUUCUUUUCUACUAUCAUUACUUCUAACUUCUUCCCCGUAUUUUUCUUAUCUUCUAUUCUAUUUGUUACUUUCUCUUUGAAAUAGCAAUUAGAUAAACAAAAGUGAUCUUUAAUGACUACAUCAUUUUCAAAUCUGAUUUAAACUGUCCCGUAACCACUCAUUAUGUAUUCUUUGACCAAUGGGGCUACAUCAAGGUUUCCUAGUCCAAGACAUAAGAGCUGCUUUCAACCUGCUGCCUGAUGAAAGCUUCUUUGACGAGGUUGUCAAAAUCAUUCACCUAUACGCAAGCACCCCGAUGGUGGCCCUUGCCAGCCUUCUAGUCUCGACCUCUUCCACACUCACUUUAGUUAGAUUCAAUACCAAAACCUGCGUAGAAGUUCUGAAUUAGACAAGUAUGAGGUACAAAGACCUGAAAUGGUUUUCAUUUGAUGUCUUUUUUCCAACACUAAUUUAAAAUAUGGAAUUUCUAAUUAGAAACUAUGUUUUAUUAUUUCUUCAAAAAAUUACAAAUCAAAUAGACUUAUUAAUAAAAAUAGCUAUUUACUUACAAGCAAAGUAGGAAAACACUUUAAUGGCUGGACAAGUGACUUCUGUGACUUUGUUGCUAAUUUAGUAUUCUUGAAGAGCAAGUAUGAGUAGGACAUUGGAGAGUUAACCUCCUUGUAUUACCAAGAAAGAUACAUGCCAGGAUGUAUCUGAAUUUGUACACAUAAGACACUCCUAUUCUUAUCACUUUUGUUAUUUUCAUUUUUCUUUUUGGCACAUUGGGAGGAAACUUAGGUGCAUACAACCAAUGCAGUCAACCAAAAUCAUAUUUACUUGAGGAAAAAAGGAAAGGAGGGGAGGGGGGGGGGAGGGGACACAUGAUCUCCCCAAGACAUCCUUUCCGUGCUAGCCCCAAUCAAUGGGUUGAUUACGCUCCCCAUGUUGCAACCUUUAAAAUUGGUAAAUAGUUGGUCUCUUUGAACAAUGAGUUUGACCUGCUAUAAUAUCACUAGAAGUGAUUAUUUUUUAUUCUUUUUCAGAGAUUGAUCAAGAAUGUAGGUGUUAAAUUGACUUUACAAUAUGCCAUUUCUCUAAAACCUUAUAUUAGGAACUUUGAAUAAAACAUGUAUAUUUGAAGAUCUUAAACAAAUAAUAACUUUCAAAACUUUUCUUUUGUAUAAUAUAAUAUCAUAUUUCUAUAAAUUUUAAUGAAAAGUAUUUUUUUUUAACAUAUCCUUAUCUCAUUUGCUCCUUCUUGCCAGAUCAGACACUUGGACAUGGGUUCGAGUCUAGUUCUUGUGUCCAUGCCAAUGCGACGCUGCCUAUAAGUCCAUCUUUUCCUCCAGAGUUUCUUUAAUGUUAAAGAAUCUCAUCCAUAUAACUCAUUAAAUAACCACAUAAAGGAUUUUACUAGGUUAUCUUAUUGAUGCAGCUUCGGGUAUCUAUAAUGAAGGGAUUGCACUCAACUCAGAGAAGCAUUGUCUUCGAUUAUGUUCAAUCUUUUCCCUUUUCCAUAUAGAAAUAGCUCUAGUCAUUCGUCUAUUUGUGUCCCCUUGCCUGACCGUCCAUAUGUAUGUUGCCCCUUUGUUGUCCAUCCUAACACCCUUAAUUCAAUGAAAAACUCUAGUUUUCUAUUCCUUUAUCUAGUUGAUGAACAAGAGUAUUUCUAAUCUUGAUUUGAAACCAACCUCCUGUAUGGAUCACCAUAAGUUGCAGUAUUUUUUGGUAAAUAUUUCGAGCAGUAUGGUGGUAAUAUGCCACCACCAGGAUUUGAACCUUGGACCCCACCCAACAGCAAGUUUUUAGGUGAGUGGUGUCAACCAGCUAAUAGCUGUUGGCCACAAGUGCAUAUUUAAUAUUACUACUAUUUAGACAUUUUUUGAUGGAAUUUUGUAAUUUAUUAUUUCAGAGCUGUUCAUUAACGAUACUUCUGCUAUUUGCUCCUAUAUGGAUCAUCCCUCCUUUAAACUUUUUCCCUUUUUCCCUCUAAAUCCUGCUCCUUUGUUUUUUACUCCCUUUGUUUUUCUAUCUCCUAGCUUUGCAGAUGUAGACCUUUUGUUUUGGACCUAAGCUUUUUUUUAUUCUUUUGUUUCAGUUGCCUCUGGAUUCUCUACCUUUUUUUUGUGCUUGGGUGAUUCCUACUUAUUAGCUAUAGCCCACUGGUUGAUAAACUAAUUUUGACGAUUUUAGGUCAAAGUUAAUGCCAAUGAAACACUCAAAUAUUACAUAGAUUAUUGUUUUUUGGCAUUCAGCCUUCUCCAACAUACACCUCAUAUCCUCUGCUGCUCCAUAUUUCACCGUUUAAACCACCACAUAUAAAUAUUAUUUUCCCUUGAGAAUUCUUUGCAAUAAUUCAUCAUUCUCUUCCAAAACUUGCUUAUUAACUUUCUCCAGUUUUGUGCACUGUGUAUCCAUUAUUUCAUCUCAUCUUAUAAUACGUACUUAAUACCUAUUUACCUAUAGCACAUAGUAUCCUCAUAAGAAUUCUGUCUUUCAAGUCCAUCUACCAUUAUUCCUACUUCAUUCGCUUAUUCUCAUCCCACUUGUAGCCGUGACCAAUCUCCUUAGAUAUUUCUGCUUCCACAAGCAAAUAAUAUAUACUAUUGUUCAUGUUGAUGUAUGCCAACACAAGAUAGUUGGGAUGAGUCUUGAUGUUUAUGGUUGUGGUUCAUGUUGAUGCUACUCCUUCAAUGUCCUGACUCUCUAAGAGAUAAAUUGGUCUUCCUACUAAGAGACAAAUUGGUCUUCCUAUUUUUAGGACUAGCUCCUGUUUUCUUUUUGUUCCCUUUGGCAUUUUGCCACAUCUCUCCUAACCUUCAAGCUACAACAAUAAAUAAGUACCUCAGAAAUAAAAAUAUUGAAAGAGGUUAUAGAAUAUGCCAACUGACUUGCCUUCAUGUUUAAUAUAUUUAUAUUACCCUGAACCUAAUGCUUAGUAACUUCUUUCUGCAAAUUGCUGUCUUUUUUUGUGCGUUGCAUGCUCCCACUCCUACCUUUGAUCCAUAGACUCGAAAUUGGGUGAUAGAUAUAUGUCAGAAAAUUCACAUAGUUUUGAUCACUUUAACUAUUCCAUUUUCUGACAUUUGAAUGAUUCUUUUUCUUUUUAUUUCCAAAAUGUUCUAUGAAUGUGAUGGCUACGAUCAUUUAAACAACUGCAAUCUCUAUUGCAGAAAACAAAAAUAAUGACAAAUAAAAUGAAAAUGAUAGUGAUAUUUAUCUCUAAAAGGCUGCCUAGUCCACUGGAACAUGCCUGACUUAUGUUUGAGCUUAAAAGCACCCAAUGUUGAUGGAAAGGGACUUGAAUAAUAGCAAUGAUUUGGAUUUUGUUUUCCUAGCUCAUUUGGAUCGGGCAGAAUUUCUGCGAGUCCAGAGAAAUGGGCUAGAAAGGUAAUUUGCUUCUUUUUCUCCAGUUUAAAUCUAGCCUUAUUUAGUAACUGAAUCUUAGUUUUCAAGAGUGCUCCCUAUUGUAAUAUAAUCUGAGUAUGUUAUAUGCUUUGAGCAAGCCUAAAGUUGAUAAUAGUCGUUUACAAUCUACUAGAGAGUCAAGUGUGAUAUCUGCCUAUAUACAAUGUGCAAUCCACAUAUCUAUGCAGAAAGUGUUUGCAUAUGUAUCAUUCAUGGACUACAAUGACAAAUAUAACCUUAUCAGUCGAUGUCAAGAUGAUUUCAGUCAUAAAGUGCAACAUUAAACCAUAGUCACUUUACAAAAGGAUUGACUCUUCAGCAAAUAUACAUGAUCUUCAACCUGACAUCGACCAUCCUAAAGUUUUAACAACAAUCUUAGGCCAAUUUGGAGUCUGAAUGCUACCAAAAUGUAAUCAUUUAAUUUAAAUUGGUAUGUAAACUUAUACCAAUGUUGUUGUAAGAGUUUCAAUAUUAGGAUAAAUGAAAUUGGCAUGAACAUUCAAGCGUGUUGUAGUCAUAGGAAUACAAUUACAUAAAGCAAAAUCAUAUAAGUAAUUGGAAGAGCACAUUAACAUCCGUUCUAUAAUGGUUUAGUUUAUACCAAAAGAUCCCAUAAGCUCUGCUUUAAAUACUUAUUAUUAAUAUGCAGUCUAUAAAUUGGCUGAAGCAUUAUUAUAUGGUCUGAUCAACAACAGUGAUCUUUUUCUGACAAUUAAAAUAUAAUCAUCGCCAGUUAUGUCUUUAGAUUCCAUUUGUCAAAACAUGGAGUAUGGAACGAAAACUGGCUGAUACUAUCUGUAUUGGCCAAUUCCAACUGGUAGUGUCAUAAACAGUCCAGUGUUGAACCUUAGACUAGUAUUCCUGAAAAGGCCAAUUCACUACUAAACUUGAUCAAUAUAAAAAUAACUGAUUGGAGUGGUGGGUGGACCAGUUGUAAUUGUCAUUUCAUUAUGAUUCUGCUUGGAUGAGGUUGGUUCGAUCUUGUUCAGGCUAUUAAAAGUCUUUCAGGUGAUGAUAUCAUCUCUUCAAUCAUUCUCUUUAUUCUAAUACUAAUAAAGAAGAGAUGAAGCAGAACAUGGAGAAAGGAGGAAAAAGAGAAAACCUAACAUCUGAGCAUGAAAUAUACUUGUAACAUGGACUUCAUUUUGGCAAGGAGCCAUAGUGUUCUUGAAAAAUGCAUUUAUAAUAAAGGACUUCUUCAGGAUGUUGCUUAAAUCAAUGUUAGAGCUUGAACGCAUCCAGUUGGUUUUGUGUCUAAGCUUAUUAGGCUUUGCCUUCAAACUUGUUGGCCACCUCCGUGUUUUUUUUUUUGGUGUGUGUGUGGUUGGGUGGGGGGGGGGGAUGUGGAAGAGUUAAUGACAAAUUUUUAGGAGAGUGUAAUUACUUGGAUAGAACAAGCAUGUCUUCAAUUGCUUUUGGAUCUGACUGGGAAUGUGUUAAUUAUAAUUUUCAUCCUAAGUUUUUUCUAGGAUGUACGCUUUUUGUGCAAAAUCAUAAUUGUUUAUAUGGCCAUAGGAAUUUUUAAUGCUAAACUUGCUUUUUACUGGAUUCUCAAUUGGAAAAUAAACAACUCUGGUAGCUUUAUAUUUCAAGUUGGACAAAGAAUUUCCAUUAAAUCUUUAACACCAGGUUUCAAAUGUAUGUUGAUGAUUAAUUAUUGAAACUGAUGAUCCAAACAAUUGAUUAUAGCUUGCAAUUAAGUGCCCAAAAACUAAAGAAAAAGUAAUUAGUUUUGGAGGUCUCUUACCUAUGCAUCAAAUUGAGCAAAGAAAUGUAUGACACUGUAUGUUAGUGUGCUAAAUGUAUUAUGGAACAUAUGAAUUGAAAGUCAACACUGUUGAUCAUGAUUUACGCAUCUUAAAACAAGCAUAUAUUAUCAGAAACCAAAGAUGAAAAUACACAUUUUGACUACCUUUUAAAUGAUAGGUCUUAGCAAAAUCAUUUACAGUGCCAUUAAAACCAUUGAUAUUGCAUUUAGGGUGUCAGUGGGGGCUGAUAACUUACUAAAUACCCAGCUAAUUAGGCCCCCCUCCCCCACCCCCACCCCUAAAAAAAAGGGGGUGGGUGAGGAUUGUGUUUGGAUUUGGAUCUAACACAUUUUAGGUUUGGGUAUGGAUAGGGCCAAACUCUAUACGAACCUAACCUGUGGAUGCCCCUAAUUGCAUUCACUUUAUCCAUAAGUAGAAGACUUCAUAUGUGCUUUUUUAAGAUCUGGCGAAUUUCUGUUUUCUAGAUCAUGAUCGAAAGAUGCAGAACUUUAGUUCGAAUGGCUUGUCAUGAAUUUUGUAUCUAGUAAAAUGUUAAUUAUUUAAUGGCAAGACUGCUAUCUUACUCUUGUUUUUUUUUUCAUGCAAUUUGUUUAAGAAAUUCCUUGCGUUUUUCAAUAAUAUCUUUUUCCACUUCCAUUACCGGUGUUAUAUAAUUCUCAAGUUUGUAUUUCAUGAUCAAGGCCAUUCUGCAGAUUUGAUAAAUGUGUUAUCUGACAUGAACAUGAGAUUUUUCUGUUGCUAAUACUAUAUUUUUCUGUGAGUUAACAACUUGUUACCUUUUACUUUAUUUGCUACCAAUUUUGUUACUGUGUGACUCUGAUGGUUAUGUAAUUGCAGAUUGAACUUUUUGACAUCCUUGGUGAUGUGGUAUCCUGUUCAUUUUUGUUUUAUGUCAUUUUCUUGUUUGAUAUAGCAGAGCUUUUUUAGCGUUUUGUGUCUUGAUUCUUGUGAUGGUGCUUCUUCUUCAGGAUCAUGUGCAGCAGCAACAACAGAUGGUUGACCAUGUUUGGCAUGAAUUUAACACAAUCAGUUCAACAAAGUGUCUGAGGGAACUGUACUGCUGCAUGCCUCCUAUCGAGCCAUUUGUCUUGAGCUUUAGAAGAUAGGCAUCAUUGGUAUUCUUUUAGUGGAUUUUGGCUUGUUUCUUUCGAUCUCAUUGAUCCUUCCACAACUGCUCUUACCUUCAAAGAUUGUUUUUGUGUUUUACAAUAGGAACUAGUGAAACAUGUGGUCUAAGUAAGAUGUCUGUGGUGAUAAUUUUACCAUUUUGACAUGAUAAUAUGCUGCCCUUAUUGUUAAACGACUAUAUCAUGAUUUUUAAUCAUCGUCAUGAUUUCAUACUGUCGCAGCUCAAAAUGUGGCCUGUUGGUUACUCGGUCAUUGAAUUGCGGGGAUGCCAACUAGUUGAGUUGGUAAAGUCGCUAGGGGAGGUGCCAUUGAGACUGGUUUGACUCCCACCGACUCUGAAUUCAGGGAGGCUUCCUCCUAUCCCAGUUAUCAGAAUGGGAGGAGGAUGAUCCUCUUCCUCAAAAGGAGGAUGAUCCAUUUUGUUUUAUAUGGUGUGGGCUGCAUGACAUGUGGACUAGUGAGGUGAUUACUGUGUUUCUAUGGUGUCUAUAGGCGCAUAUGCAGGAUCCAUUUGAUUUAUCCAAAUAUUCUAUGCAUAUUUUCUCAAUUUUUUUGUAUCUUAUGUUACUGAAUUACUUUUUAGUUACCAUUUCAUUGUUUUCUCAUUGAAAUAUCGACAAGGAGCCGAAAAAGGAAGGAAGGACGAGUACUAGGUCAGGUAUUGGAUAAUUGAUUUGCUAAUUCUUUGAAAUGAAGAAACUAUAUUUUGUGAUUUUAGCUGCGAUAUAAACUAUUGUUAAUAAAAGAAACUAUAUUUGCUAAUUGAUUUGCUUGAUAACAGCUAAUCACUUUUGGACCUUGCUCUAAGGUUCUCAAACCUCAAUUAAAGAUUGCUUCUCUACUUUUACUGAAUGUUGUUACUAAAACAUAUUGGAAUUCUCCUAGCGUCCAGCUGUGGCAAGAAUUUCCAUAUUUUUCAGCCCUGUUUGGUUGGAGAAUGUGUCUAUCCCCUAUGGAAUUAUUAUCCUCGGACAACUCGGAAUCCUGCUGGUUGCAGUCUUUUUCUUCUGGUAAUCUAGGAACAUCACUCGAUUGGAUUUUAGCUAGUGAUGCUGUUAGACGAGGGAAAAAAAUAAGUAACUGUUUUUUGGGGAUAGGAAGUAAAUCUUUUGGGCUCAUUUUCUGGGUAAUUAGAAUUUGAAUAAACCGGGAAUAAGUCUAUUUCAAUUUCCCCACGGAAUUGCUGUCCCUGUGGAACCUCUGUGGAAAUUCAAAUGCUUAAUUUUUUUUGUUAUGGAUUUUGUAAGGAUCUAUGUAAUCCAGCACACAAAAUCUGCACUUAAUCUUUUACUUGAUAUGAACAUUUUAUAACAUAAUUAAAUAUGUUUACGGAUCACAUGUUUUUAAUAUCAUGGCUGAAGCCUAACCCAACUUUGAUUUGAUAUCCAAUCAGAAAGGAGAACUUUAUCUAGACGACUAGAACUCAUUUCAUUAUGAAGUUAUUCAUUCAUCAUGUGAUGCUAAUAUUAAAAAUACUAGUAUUAGUGGUAGGAAUUUUUGCUUGGCUGUCAUCAAAAUUCAUUACUUGGUGCAAGGCUAGUAAUAGCAAUGUCGUUAUUAAUGAUAGGAGUUUCUACGAAGGCUCAACUUGUGCAGAAUCCUCUAUUUGUGCAUGUUGAUCUUAAUAAUGUAGGCACAAUGACAAGGCUUUCUCCUUGGCUAUCAUUAAAGAAAAAAAAUCGUGAAGGCAUAAUGACACUUAAUAGUAACAAUGAGAGUUUCUAUAUGGAUGUUCAACUUAUAUAGAUAACACGAGUUUCCAGUUGUCUAUAAUUAAAUUUUAUUACUUAAUAUGUAAUAAAAAUUUAUUUAUUGAAAUCUUCUAUUUAUUAUAAUUUGUUGUAUUAUCAUAUUGCAUCUCAAAAAUAGUUGGAAAAAGGAAAAAAUACUAUACAUCAUGUAGGAUCGAUAUUAAUAAUGUCGAUAUUGAUGAUGUGAAUUUAUAUAUGAAGGCUUUUGUACAAAGUUUUUCAUUCAUCAUGUAGAUGCUGGGGUUAAUGAUGCCAGUAUUAAUUACAGGAGUAUUUGCUUGACCAUUAUUAAAGUUCAUUGCUUCGUGCAAAGCUAGUAUUAGUAACACCGGUAUUAUUGAUGAAAGUUUCUAUAUAGAGGCUCAGCUUGUGCAUAGUCUCUAUUAACCAUGUAAAUGCGGAUCUUAAUGACACCAGGGUAAUGAUGGAGGUUUCUUCUCGACCACCAUUAAAGUUCAUUGUAUUUCGAGAAUAGUUGGGAACUGAAGAAAAAAUCAUAUACUUCACAUGAUGCACAGUUGGUAUUACUAACGAGAGUUUCUGCAUGGAGGUUCAGCUUAUAUAGAGUUCGCUAUUGGCCAUGUUAAUGCCGGUAUUAAUGACACUAAUGUUAAUAUUAAACGUUUUUGCUUGUCAAUUAUUAGAUUUUAUUACUUAAUAUGCAAUAGAAAUUUAUUUAUUGAAGCCUUCUAUUUAUUAUAAUUUGUGAUAUUGUUAUACUACAUUUCAAAAAUAAUUGAAAAAAAGAGAAACAAUAGUAUCCCACCCAUCGUAUAGGACUGAUAUUGGUAAUGCUGGAAUUNNNNNNNNNNNNNNNNNNNNNNNNNNNNNNNNNNNNNNNNNNNNNNNNNNNNNNNNNNNNNNNNNNNNNNNNNNNNNNNNNNNNNNNNNNNNNNNNNNNNNNNNNNNNNNNNNNNNNNNNNNNNNNNNNNNNNNNNNNNNNNNNNNNNNNNNNNNNNNNNNNNNNNNNNNNNNNNNNNNNNNNNNNNNNNNNNNNNNNNNNNNNNNNNNNNNNNNNNNNNNNNNNNNNNNNNNNNNNNNNNNNNNNNNNNNNNNNNNNNNNNNNNNNNNNNNNNNNNNNNNNNNNNNNNNNNNNNNNNNNNNNNNNNNNNNNNNNNNNNNNNNNNNNNNNNNNNNNNNNNNNNNNNNNNNNNNNNNNNNNNNNNNNNNNNNNNNNNNNNNNNNNNNNNNNNNNNNNNNNNNNNNNNNNNNNNNNNNNNNNNNNNNNNNNNNNNNNNNNNNNNNNNNNNNNNNNNNNNNNNNNNNNNNNNNNNNNNNNNNNNNNNNNNNNNNNNNNNNNNNNNNNNNNNNNNNNNNNNNNNNNNNNNNNNNNNNNNNNNNNNNNNNNNNNNNNNNNNNNNNNNNNNNNNAGUGUCACUUGACUUUGAUUAAUACUGAUUUCUCUGCAUCACCCCAUACUAGAUUAAGAAGUGGUAUCAGAAUUUCUGUAAUCCGACUUGACUUUGAAAAAGAAAACUGCCGCUGACCAUAUUACAAUCAAGCACAUCCCAACUUUAGAAGCCCAAAUGUGUUAAAAAAAAUUCCCUGAAAUUGCUUCUCAAGCCUCAAUUCAGCAAAUUGCAAGUCCAAUUCAGCUUCAAAGCGGAGGGAGUUAGUGAUAUAAAAUAUUAUAGGAAAGCAACGUAGUAAUUGCCUGUUACCAUUCAUCAUCUUGGGAAGGAAUUGAAGGAAUUUUAGGAACCCAUCCCCUGGUCACCUCAAGAUGAACUUCGACGAUGCUAUACGAAGACAGAGAUGGGGUGGGGUUCAUAAUCCGCGAUCACAAUUUUCGGCUGACUGCUGCAGAAAGGUGAUACAUCUGUGAUACGACAGUUACAGAAGCGAAGCUCAGUGCGGCAUGAGAGGAUAUCACACAUGCAAGGUCUGUUCUAAGGGCUGGUGAGAUUAUCCUGAAAGGAGAUUCUACCAUGAUGAUUGAUUGGAUUCGGGAUGUUGUGCGACAGACUGACGGUCAUCCUCUUCUUAGCGAUAUACAACGCAUGGUGCGAGACUGUGACUCCUUUUAGAUGGUUCAUGUAUAUCGGGAGACGAAUAGAGCGACUGACUAAGUUGCCUUCUUUCUGCCCAUUAUUCUGUAGAGGUCUCAUGAACACGGACAGAUGUUGUACCUUUUUUUAGGCCACAUUUUGUAUCUUGGCUGAGUUGGUUAUAUUUAUGCUAAUUUACCUGAGCGGCCGUCUUAAAAAAAACAAAAAAUCAAAAUUUUGGAGCAUCAAAUGUGCUCAUCGUGUCGUGGCGGACGCUGUCAGCUGUCACGAUUCACUAUGUUUUUGUAUCUUGACUGAGUUGGUCAUACUUAAGCUAGGUCUACGUGCGCAACAGUCUUAUAAAAAACAAAAAUCGAAAUUUUGGAGCAUGAAAUGUGCUCAUCGUGUCGUGGUGGACGCUGUCAGCUGUCACGAUUCACCAGUAACAAACGGGUUACUAUGAGUAAUCUUGGAAGGAAGGCGGCUAGGGGUCUACUUCUAUCUCCAGGCAACGAUCCUAAUCUCCCCUGGAGACUCGUCCCCCCCCCCCCAUUUAAUUCCCACUUCUCCCUGCGAUUUUUUUUUUUUAAUAUCCAAUGGGUCCCAGUCCAUCCGAAUAGAUGGAUAUUCUUGCUCGGUUCUUACCAGGAAUUCCCCUCCCUUCCAUGGCAGCCUCCCUUCUUCUCUCUGCGUCUCUAUGCCGGCCUCUAUUCGAGAAGCCUUCUUAAUGGCCGCGAAUACUCGUCGCAGACUCGUGCGUGCCCUCCAAGCCCUCUACUCUAUCUCCCGUCAACGAGGGAUCCAUUAAAAUCGCGACUUUCCCAUUCUUGGUCCGGGUUGUUUCUAGGAUUUCAUUGUUCUCAGAUUUCUUCUUCGAAAAAUCCGUUGUCUUCAAUCGAAUUGAGGUCUCCUUCUCUGGUUCUGGUAAGCAAGAUUUCUCUUUUCCCAUCUGGAUUGUUCCCCAAAUCCAAAUCUUUACAUUCUUUCGGCCCGUUCUUGAAUUNNNNNNNNNNNNNNNNNNNNNNNNNNNNNNNNNNNNNNNNNNNNNNNNNNNNNNNNNAACUUGGACCUCGACUUCCCGAACCCGGAAGUGUUCCCGGGCCCUGAUGUCGGGGACCAGAUGCCCGGCAACUGCUGGAUAGAUGGCUUCUUCGACGAGAGCGUCAAGGACAUGCCCCGCCACUCAUGCACCCACACCCACACCUGUAAUCCUCCGGGGGGAGACCUCUCGCACACCCACACCUGCUUCCAUGCCCACACCAGGAUCCUCUCGGCUCCUUCCGAGGAGACUUCUUCCGAGUCCGCCGAGAAGAGCUCAUCAAAGAAGAGGCCAAUUGGCAACCGAGAGGCUGUCCGGAAGUACCGCGAGAAGAAGAAGGCUCAGACGGCCUCGCUGGAGGAUGAGAUUGUCCAAUUGAGGGCGCUCAAUCAGCAGCUGAUGAAGAGGCUGCAGGGCCAAGUAGCUCUGGAGGCAGAGGUGGCAAGGCUUAGGUGCUUGCUUGUCGAUAUAAGGGGAAGGAUAGAAGGAGAGAUUGGGGCCUUCCCUUAUUACAGGGCAGCGAGAAUGGGUGGGGAUUUGGUUUCUAAUGCAACCCAGGGGAACCUUCUUGGUGCUCACAUCAUAAAUUCGUGCAAUGUGCGCUGUGAUGACCGGAUCAACUGCAUGCAAUCAGUGACGCAAGGCGAAGAUGGGGAUGAAGAUGGUGCAUUGGAUGGCGAGAACUUUGAUGCUUGUGAGAUUGGCAAUAUUCGGUGCAUGGGGAGUUCGAGUACAGGAUCUAAGGUCAUCUUGACUUGUGGCCAUGGAAAUGCGAUGGCUGCUGGAUGUUCAUCUAAGGCCAAGAAAACUAAA
rnacentral:lncRNA from 1 species